GGAAAAAGUUAUUAAGCAAAAACCGAUUGAUGCCCUGAGGAUUAAUGAAAAUUUCACUUUUCAUAGCAUCACUGCUGCUGACGGUCGAAUAAUAUACAAAUUUUUUAACUUUCUCUUAUUAUGUACAAAAGAAGCCUCAAUUUAUCCCCCAAAACCCUUGCGAAGUGGCCAAACAGCAUAAAUAAAUGAUUUAACCACAUUAAGAGAAGAUCAAAACAAAAUUGCAUAUAAUUGGACAGCCAACAGCAGUGGUGCUAGAAAAAAUGAAUAUUUUAUCAGUCAUCAGAGCAUCGAUCGGUUUCUGCUUAAUAACUUUUUGCUCAAGCGUCAGAUCGUUUCGUGGUUUUCGAGACUCUGUUUCUUUGUUAAAUUUCCCAUAAAAGCCACAUAACAAUUUAUUUUUAGGAAGCAACGGGCGACUUCCGGAGGAAUUAUUUUGUGAAAGUUAGUUUUUCCAUACAAAAUCCCAUGUAAACUUUAAACAGUGGGCGCAAAAAUAUAGUUUCAAGGAUCGAGCUAAGAAUUUGCACAGUUGUUCUAGGACCCAAAUGGUACCUGAAAAGUUGUUCGGAGCUGGAUUCCAUUUUUUGUCCCACCCUAGUGAACAGGCAUUAGGGAAACAUCGCCUUAUCAUUCGCUCCACGUUUUGAUCGAUCACAAAGGGAACGUUGAUCGGACGAAGCAGCCUUGUAACGCAGAUCCUUUUGCCACUAAGCAACGUUGCUAGCGGUAGCAUCGCCCUCGUAGGAACCUCACUGCGGUACUUCUCGAACCACAGAUAAAUACGCGCCAUAGUCUGCUGCAACUCCAUACACUCCAGUCCAUUGGUGUCGAAUUUGGGAAUCUCCUUAUUCGGUUUCAGGCUUAUAGACAAGGAGAUGUGAGUUAACUCUCGCAUAUCCAGCAGAUUAGAUCCGGUUAGCAUAGAGGUGUAUUCAGGUGAUUCGUCGUUGUUGCGCGUGUAUCCGUAGAAGCAGUGGGGUUUUGAUUUCGAAUGUUCCCUCAAUCUAGGUGGACAGAUACAUGCACAUAUACUUGUGAGAAAUUGAACAGCUAUCAGUGUGAGAGCAUAUCUUAAAUAAUAAUAGGAUUUGACGCGCACUUGCUCUACUAUCAGGAUGUUCUAAUAAUUUCACUCCAUCGAAAAAAUUCUGGUAGGCUCACAAUGGGUUACGCUUGAGCCUCAUUAGAAUAGCUUACUGAAUUGCUCUCGUUGAGAAAUUGCCAUGUUAAUCGCCAACAAUGGCGAGAAGGAAUGUUUGAUCCCCCACGAUACGGUUAGUGGUAUGCGAAGAAUUCUACUAUCCGUUUCACCACUACCGCUCGUUCCGGGGGUGGAGAUGCACAUGCAACACCCGGAAGAUCGUCAGGAAUGCUUGGACAGCAAAGUCAAACAGUAUGACGCUAAUUAUGAAAAGUUUCAAUUCAUAGUGGCGAGUAGUGGUAAGUUGGGUGGUUUCUUUCCCUAAAAUUUUCUUUUAAUAAUCUCUUCUCGUUAGAUUGCCAUCCGACGUUAGCAGCCGAAACUGAUAUCGAUACUGAGAUGGCAAAAGAAGCACAACCUGCUCGUAGUAACAAGAAUGAAACGGAAAUCAAUCGCCUGUUCGGCACUCAACAAAAGACCACCCAACCUUGCUAACGAACACCUCGGAAAAGCGUGGCGAUGUCGAGUCCGGUGAUGGAACAACGGCAAAACCCUUCAAAACAAUCCUGCAAGCCAUGAAGCACGCCGGCAAGGAACCUUACCCAACAAUUUACGCGGACGCUGAGGAUGCAAAUUCGAAUCACCUUACGAACUGGCAGCCAAAUCUCAGCUCAAGAAAAUUCAAAAGCUCUGGGUUCUCGAUGGCUUCAAAAACGUCAGUAAGCAGAAGCGUGAAGAGAAUAAUGCCAAGAAGCGAGUACAGAACCUGCAGGAACCGAAAAAAGAUCAUUAUCAGUGAAGAUGCAACUUGUUGUAUUCACUGGUAAAGACGGCAGGUUAAAGGAUUGAUGAUUAUAACAAUUCGCGAUGGAGCCGGUUUCUUGCAAAGCGUUCUCAGCGAUACCUUGUGUUAGACACAACGCGUUGAUUCUAUCAUCCGAGUCCUCGGUUGGACUAUUCGGUACGUUGAAAAAGGUUCCAGAGGGUAAGUCUGCUCCCGGUAGACAUGAACUGCACGUUGAUGAUUGGGAGCUGAUCGGAUUAGCCCUGAUCGGUGGGACGGACUCUAUUUUGAACGAUGAUGCUAAUCCUGAUGUGCAGCUCGAUAACAGACACAUUAUGAUUCGAGGCGAAAUUUCUUCUAAGAUUCUCAAGAUGAGAGAUGUCAUUAAAAUGGCAUUUAGGGAGCAUUAGCAUGAACGUGGCUACACGGAGGUAACGCCACCGACGCUGGUGCAAACACAAGUUGAAGGAGGGUCGAAUCUUUUAAACUGGACUAUUUUAGGAAGCAUUCCUGACGCAAAGCUCACAACUAUAUUUGGAAACCUGUUUGCCGGCAUUAGGCGAUGUCUAUUGUAUUUCUCAAAUUUACCGUGCAGUGCAGAGUCGUACUCGCCGUCAUUUAGCAGAAUACAGUUACAUUGAGGGUGAAUGUCCCUUCAUUACUUUCAAAGAGCUACUUGAUCGGCUGGAAGAUUUGAUAGUAGAUGUUGUCGAUCGAGUAUUGAAAUCUCCGUGAGAUCUUCUAGUGAAGGAACUUAACCCGAAUUUUAUGCCACCGAAGAGACCCUUCCAUCGCAUGACCUAUGUCGAUGCUAUUAACUGGCUAAAGGAGAACAUUGUCACCAAGGAUGAUAGAUUAACCGAAAGCGUUGACGUUUUGUUACCAAAUGUAGGAGAAAUUGUGGGAGGUUCGAUGAGGUCCUGGGACCAAGUAGAGUUCAUGGAGGGACACAAGCGCGAAGGAAUCGAUCCGGAACCUUACUACUGGUACAUACAUCGAUCAACGAGUGUAUGGCUCACAACCGCACGGGGGAUAAGGGUUGGGAUGAUUCAUGUGCUGGCUGAUCAACAGGUACCACAUUCGUGAGGUUUGUCUAUACUCCAGGUUCUUGGAGAGAUACACACCCUAGGCAAUGUCUGCAUUUAAACUUGCAAGCAUUUGGAACCUCAGAAAUGAUCCAGCUAUUCUAUUUCCUAAUCGUUGCUCUAAACAGCAUUUCUAAACAGCUACAAUUUGACACAUUUAUUUUAAGAAAAUGACAUUAUCAUUCUAUAUCAAUAUAUUUGUAUUACAUCUAAUAAAUCAAUAAAGAGAUGAGGGAAUUGUAUUAAGCACCUAAAAGCUCGUUGACUUGAACACGUAUUUUGAGUUGCAGACAAUUUUCUUCUUAUCAUAUAUCCUUCGGGGUCGUUCCCAUUGACCAAAGUACGGCGCUCUCUGAUUGAAUUUGAACUUCCUGGCUAGAGUAAGUGUUCGAAGUGUUUACCAAACUCCAUCACCCGGUUGUCGAGGUUCCAGAGCAAUACACUAGUGCUACAUACGGCACGUUGUUCAAUUGGAACAAGCGAAACCGGAUACGUUCGUGUACCAACCGAGGGGGAAUUUGAAUUAAGUGGGUUUCCACCGGUAGCAACUAACUGAGAGUUACUGGAUCGCAAGAAUACAAAUGCAUUCGGUAGAAUGUCACGGGCCAGGAACAAAGUAUUAAUGUUGGACAUGAUUUGGCCCAACCGGCCAGAACUUUCACACAACAGAAUUCGACUUAUUUCGCUAUCGUAACCGGUGCUUUGAAAUUUUGUAAAAUCUGUAGCAUACAUAUCGGGUGUUUCGAUUAUCUGUAAAAUAGUCAUCAGUUACGAAUGAUUUUUUUUUUAUGAAUUAGUAAUGUUCUUAUCUUGCAAUUCAACCGCAUUACGUACGACAUGAGUUCAUAGGUGCAGGAAUCGAAAUCCCCCGUCACCAGAUCGGGUGACUUUAAUUGUUCUUCUGUGCCAAUAUUUUCCUUAACAAAGUCCACCCAUCGAUUCGUACCCCCGUCGACGGUAAUGCGGAUUUUUGCUGGAAUUUGACCAGCUCAAAUAACUGCAGCAGAAACGAUAAUUAAAUUAAUCCACUCUAUUAUUAAAUCACUCUAAACUUUGGAUUAAAAUAAAUUAGUGAACUUUUUUGUUCCCAAUAUAAUCCCGACUAGUUUUAGCUAAUCUUGUUAAGUUUUGCUGUUCUCGGAUAAUCCCACCUAGUUUUCAAUAGUCUUGGUUUAGAUAGCAGCUGUCACUUAAAAUAUUCUGAUGCCAAAAUAUCUCACUAAACUAUUUUAAUCUCGGUUAAACUUUUCUAAUCCCGUCAAAUCUUGUUUGGUAGGGGUCGGACUUAGACCAAGUUUAGAGUGAUUUCCCCCUAGUGCAUAUGUAAUACAUAUUAUGUAUACCAAUUUAUUUUCUUUUGUGCAUUUAAUAUUAUGUCACUACAAAGUGCUGUACAUCAUCGGCCAACUUUCAAUUAUCCAACACGUUAAAGUUCUAAGUUCAGAAACAUAUCGGCUACAAGUUGACAAAAAUUGUACUCGCCCGCUAUAGAACGAGACAUUUGACGAAGAAAAGCUAUAUUACUGCACGAAAAUAUCGGAAAGAAAAACAAUUCACCAUGUUGUCUAUUUUACUCAUUUUCUUUAACUUGAAUUUGUUGUUUUUUAACAUUGACGUGUAACGCAGAU